rnacentral:rRNA from 1 species
GACGAACGCUGGCGGCGUGCUUAACACAUGCAAGUCGAACGGAAAGGCCCUGCUUUUGUGGGGUGCUCGAGUGGCGAACGGGUGAGUAACAUGUGAGUCACCUGCCCUUGACUUUGGGAUAACUUCAGGAAACUGGCGCUUAUACCGGAUAGGAGCUCCUGCUGCAUGGUGGGGGUUGGAAAGUUUCGGCGGUUGGGGAUGGACUCGCGGCUUAUCAGCUUGUUGGUGGGGUAGUGGCUUACCAAGGCUUUGACGGGUAGCCGGCCUGAGAGGGUGACCGGCCAAAUUGGGACGGGGAUACGGCCCGGACUCCUACGGGAGGCAGCAGGGGGGAAUAUUGCACAAUGGGCGGAGGCCUGAUGCAGCAACGCCGCGGGCGGGAUGACGGCCUUCGGUUUGUAAACCGCUUUCGCCGGUGAGGAAGCGUGAGUGACGGUAAUGGGUAAAGAAGCGCCGGCUAACUACGUG